rnacentral:rRNA from 1 species
UACGUAGGGGGCGAAUGUUACUCGGAAUUACUGGGCGUAAAGGGCCUGUAGGCGGUCAUACAAGUUAGCUGUUAAAGACCUAUGAUCAACGUAUGGAGAGCAGCUAAUACUGUAUAGCUAGAGUACAGCAAGGGAUGGUGGAAUUCCCGAUGUAGGGGUGAAAUCUGUAGAGAUCGGGAGGAAUACCGAUGGCGAAGGCGACCAUCUAGGCUGAUACUGACGCUGAGGGGCGAAAGCCAGGGGAGCAAACGGG